rnacentral:rRNA from 1 species
AUGGCGCCGGAGUUCAUCAAGUUUGAUGUGAAGAAAUUCGAUGGCACGGGUAACUUCGGUCUAUGGCAGACAAGAGUCAAGGAUAUUCCGGCGCAGCAGGGAAUCUUGAAGGGUUUGCAGGAGACGAAGCCGGCCAAGGUUGACAAUGAUGUGUGGGAGGAUAUGCAAGUGCAGGCGGCCGCUACCAUACGGCUUUGUCUUGCGGAUCAGGUCAUGUAUCAUGUCAUGGACGAAGAUACUCCUAAGGGAAUUUGGGACAAGUUGGCAAAUCGUUAUAUGUCCAAGUCGGCGACCAAUAAGCUGUAUUUGAAGCAAAAGUUCUAUGGGCUGAAGAUGCAGGAGGGGUCGGAUCUUGUGGGGCAUGUGAAUGCCUUUAAUCAG